rnacentral:rRNA from 1 species
UACGAAGGGGGCUAGCGUUGCUCGGAAUCACUGGGCGUAAAGGGUGCGUAGGCGGGUUUUUAAGUCAGGGGUGAAAUCCUGGAGCUCAACUCCAGAACUGCCUUUGAUACUGAAGAUCUUGAGUCCGGGAGAGGUGAGUGGAACUGCGAGUGUAGAGGUGAAAUUCGUAGAUAUUCGCAAGAGCACCAGUGGCGAAGGCGGCUCACUGGCCCGGUACUGACGCUGAGGCACGAAAGCGUGGGGAGCAAACAGG